GUAAUUCUAGCAUCUGAUCUCUCAUUUCCUGUUGAAAUUCAGUCAAUUGCUCCUGUAUCUGAAUCUGCAUUCGCUCUAAUUUUUCCAACCUUCGUUCCAUUUUUCUAACCUUUGUUUGGAUACCGUAAAGGUGUUGGGUUGGUUGGUUUUCCAGGUUAGCUGAAAUAAAUUUAUUCAAUUAGACUCUUUUAACGAAUUUUAAUGCAUGUAAUGUAAAUGCAUGAAAUGAAUGCCUAAAGAGACGUUGAAUCUGAUUCAAUUACAUUUAUAAAACUUUUCUAGAAAGCAAAUUCCUUUACAUAAAGCAAAGGCAUGUACGGCUUCGCCCUUAUGUUCCAAGAGACAAUAUCGAUCUUUUUCUUCAUCCGCACGUUUGAGGUAAUCUCGCCAAUAGGUGUCAUUGCUAGCUCCUUUUCUUGAUCUUGGUCGCGAUCCAUCAUCUACCCGUCUUCAUAAGGCUCGUCAGCUUCUAAAAGGGGAUUGGAACAUCGAAGGCUCUUAGACAAUCACAUAGAAUCCCCAGGCCACGAAGCAAGGUCACGAACUCUUCGAUCGCCCUUCUUGUGUUUCUCAGAAUAUAUUCAGGAAGUCGUAUUAUUUUCCACUUUAUCAAGGAAUUCGUAUUCCAUGACAAGCUUUCUAAUUUAGUAAUCGGACUUAAAUCAAUAUCUCUUUCCUAAGAUGCAAAUGCAAUGCGAUCAAAACACAACAAGAGGGGUUAAUACAAAAUAUAAACAAGCAAGGAAACAAAACUACCUAGUCAAGUAACCACUAGGGAUUUGGAGUGGCUCUACCUAGGGUGGGCUCCUAAGGUUCACUACAUGUGGUAUGGCUCUACAGGUAAGGUACCUAGUUGAUUACUUAAUGUCUUAAAUGUCGAAAAUUGAGAACUUUGAAGAAUCUUAAAAAAAAUACGAUCAUUGUAUUAAAACAUUGAAAAUUUUCAAGAAAAUGGGCAUAAUUCGCGUUAAUCGAGAAAAGGCAUCAUACCUAGUAAGUUAGGACACAAUGUCUCGAAUUUCCAAUACGCGAAUGAGUGCCGGAAAUUUAAAAGAUAUUUAACUAUCUCGAAUUUAAAAAAGGAUCAUGUCCAGUAAGUUAGAACACGAUCUUUUUUCAUUUUCGAGAUCAUUUGAAACUUGAAUUUGAAAAGAUUCGCGUAUUUAGAUUUAUUGUGAAGAUCGAAACCCAGUAAGUUAGGGUACGAUCCUCUCGAAUCUAAACACGAAAUAUUGUUUAUUCAAAAGUCAUAAUUCAUUUAUUGAAUGAAAUAAUUUAACACGAAAUAGUAGAAAUAAGAUACGAUGUUAAUAUGCGUAACUAAAUAAAUAUGAAUACGAUGAUGUGAAUCGUAAAUAAUAGGAACAAUCACAACAAAAUGGUAAAUAAAUAAAAGAUGACAAAACGAUUAUACAUGAAAUAAUAAAUAACUAGGGCUAAAACAUUUCAUAGAAAUAAUGAUGAGAAUAAAUCAAAUAAGACAAUAAUAACUCCAAUGAAUAUAAAUAAAAUUGUAAAAUGAGAAUAAAAUAAAGACAAAGACAAAACAAAACAUCUAUGCACAUACGUAUAAUAAAGUUCGGAAAUAAAAAAUGUAAAUAAGCAAGUAAUAAUAAAAAUAUAUAACAAAACAAGUGAGUAUAUAUAUAUCCUAAAAAUAAAUGCAUGUAAACAUACAAAAAUCAAAAGGUAUAUGGGGAUGCGUAUACAUAUGGAAAAUCAAAUAUGAAACUAUACAACUACGUAUAUAGAUUAAAGUAGAUAAAAAAAGUAUUUAUAUAUUAAAUAAAUUAUAAAGAAAAAGGUAUACGUGUAUGUAUAUUUAAGCUAUUAUAUAAUAAUAUGAUAAGUAGCAAUAAUAUAAGUAAUAAUAAUAAUAAUAGUAAAAAUAAAUAAUAAAAGAUGAUAAUACAUUAAAAUAAUGAAGAAAAUAAUAAAAAUGCUAAAAAGAGGACUAAAUCGAAAUAAAAGCAAACAAUACGGGGCGAAAUUGAAAUAAAAAACGGAGGGAUUGAUUUGAAUGUGCGAAUAACAUAGAGGGCCUGGAAGGGAAAAUUUCCCUUCUCCUCUAAAACGCACAGCUUCAUUGAGGACCAAAUCGAGAGAAAAAUGAAAUUUUGUGGAAAAAUUAAAAAAUAAAAACAAAAUAGGACCCAAUCGUAAACAGACUCAAAAGUGGAAGGAUCAGGAGCGCAAAUAACCCCUUUUAUCCAAAAACACGCGGAUCCUUGGCGGUUCGGGUCGGGUCGGUCCGAUCCAUGUUAAAACGACGUCGUUUUGGGGCUUAAGGACGCCUGCCAAAACGGCGUCGUUUUAAAGGCCUAUAAAAGGCAAAUUUCUUUUCAAAAAAAUCAUUCAUUCCUUCUCACAAAAAAAACUGAUAUGCUCUCCCUCUCCCUUUCUCCGUUCCUCUCUCCGGCCAAGGGUCCAGCUAAACGCCGCCGCGCCGGUCGCCGAUCGCCGGCGCCGGCGCCACCGUCGGUGGCGGUCAGAAAAUAAAAAAAGCCUCUUUAACCAUUCUCAACCCCUUGACUCCAAAUCUGGGGUUGUCUUUUAGAAAAAACGACCAAAAAUGACCGAAUAGAGGAGGGGCCCUUCGAAUCCCGGCAACGAAGAACGAAACAGGUAGCUUUUUCUUCUCUUUCUUUAUUUUUAUUUAUUUCGAAUGUGUAGGAGAAAAAACAAAAAAAAAACAACCGAAAAAAAGAAACAAUCGUAAAAAAGGAGUCACCUUUUCAAACUGUUUUUUAAUAUUUCUUCAAUGUUUUUUUUUCAAAUCGGAAUCCCCUUUACAAUCUGUAUAUAAUCGGUUUUAUAUACCGAAAAUCAAAAACAAAAGCCCCCCUUUUCAAUACGUUUCAUUCGGCUCUUAUAGCCGAUUUCAAUACUAUUUUCUACUGUCUUGCUUCUAUGUCUGUCUCCUUUUUGUCCUGUUUGCAGGUUUUGGCAAAGUCAACAAGCAUUGGAGGGAUAACCUUGGCCAUUUUGGUGCAAGGCUGACAAGCGGUGGCAGAGGAGGCGUAUGGCAGCACAUGGGAGCUGCGCAUGAGUAUUAGGGUUAGGUUAGGGUUUCAAUUUUACUGAAACUGAUUUUAAGUUGUGGGCCACUUGGGCCACUAGGUUUUUUUUCUUAUUUUUGGGCUUGUAAUUCAUUUUUAGACUGUUUAAUUAUUUUGGAGAUUGGGUUGCUUUUGGUUUGGGCCCGGGCAAAAUAUGGGCUUUACACCCGUUAUAUGGCUUGAGAGAGAGCUUUCUGUUUAUGUACUCGUAAAAGCAUUUUCGAAUAUGAAUUGGCGGAUUUACAGUGGUGUACAUUUCAUGUGUACUACCCAUGUAUCCAUCGGGAUUUCAAAUAAUUCAAUGGGUGAAAUUCUGACAUGAGAACAUAUGAAAUUAAAAUGAAUCAUUAUCUGUAUAAACAUGAAUUACAUGGAAUUUGAUAUUUAAUGAGCUCAUCCUUGCUAUUGGUAUUUACAUGAAAUAAAUAACUAACUUGUUUGAUGAGAUUAUAUGCUUAGGCUUUUGGACAAGUUGUUUGGAAUGUGUUUAUAUGCUUACUUUAAAUGUAAAUGUAUGGUAAGUUAAUUUCCUGUUAUACGAACUUACUAAGUAUUAAAUGCUUACUCUGUUUUAUUUUCUUCUGUCUUAUAGUACUUGGAAGCUCAUUGGGUUGGAAGCUUGGCGGAGAUCACUCACACUGUCCACUGGCCUAGUUUGGUACAAAUAUGAAACUAAUUUUUUUGUUAUAAUAGCAUGUAUAGGUUAACUUAACCAAUGUUGUUAUAUAAAUGUUUUGGUUAUAACUAGCUAUUGGUAUAGCUUGUGUUUGGUAUAUAUAUUGAAAUGUAUAUAUAUGUAGUAUUAACAUGUUUGAUGUGUGAGUUUGAAAUGGUUAAAUGAUGAUAAUCAUAUGGAUGAAUGGAUUGAGAUAGCAUAUUUGAUAAAAUAUGCCUAUAUAUGAAUUUGGUCGAUUAAGUAAGUUUGAAUACAUGAACACAUGUGAUGAUAUGUCAUGCAUAAAACUUGGUUUGGCUUGGUUUAAAUGUCUUGAAUUAGUUGGUGAAUGUGUUUAAGUGUUGGUGUAGGUGGAAGGUGAAAUUGGGUGAGACAUAAGGCUUGGAAAUGGCCUUAUUUUGUCCAUACGGGCAGAGACACGGGCGUGUGUCUCAGGCGUGUGUACUGGUCGUGUGUCCCUUGCAUCUUAAAAAUUUCAAAAUAGAAUGCUCAGAAUUGAACACACGGCCUGGCACACGGGCGUGUGGCUUGGCCGUGUGACCCUUGCACCUAAUUAAUGAAAAUUAUAAUUUUCACAUGGCCUAGCACACAGACGUGUAACUUGGCCAUGUGAUCCAAGUUAGAGAGUUACACGGGCUGGAAGACUAUCGUGUGCCCUACUUCAAACGUCACAUGGCCUAAGGCACGGACGUUUGUGUCCUGCAUCUUGGAUAAAUUUUGAAAUUUUGUGAAAAAUUCUUUGAGUUCCUGAUUUAGUCCCGACUUGUUUCUAAUGUAUGUUUUAGGCCUCGAGGGCUCAUUUAAGGGACAAUAUGAUUAAUUUAUGAUUGGUUUCGGAUAUAUGAAUGUGAAGUGAUAUGAAAUAUUUGUAUUUGAUCUGUAAAUUUCCAGUAAUGCUCUAUAACUCUGUUUUGGCGAUGAAUAUGAGUUAGGGUGUUACAUUUAUUGGUAUCAGAGCUACGAUUUAGCCGAUUCUCGGACUAACGUAGCGUAUACGAGUCUAGCUAUACAUGACAUUAUAUAACCUGCGAUAGUGUAAUAUCUCCUGACCAUUUUUAAACAUGUUUUUUUUAUAUAGUAAUGUCAUCCAACCGAGCUGAAUCUGAAGAAGCUGAAAGCAAUACUCAAGCUUCAGUUUAAAUAACAACCUCGAGUAGUAGAAGGCUCGUAUCUAAGGGCCGAGGAGGAGAGGCUAAAGAAGCCUUCUUCCAAAUGAUGAAUGAAUGGUUUACAAAAUUUGUAAGAACAAAUCUGGCUGUACAACAACUUCCCCCUCCUGCUUUUCAACCGGUUCCUGACAUGCCACAAGGUACAAAACUUGUCUGAACUGAUACGCCUCCUGUUAAUAAAAUCCAUAAAUAUGUGACAGAAAAUUUAGAGCAACGACUGAAGAUGAUCCUGAAAGGGCUAAAUUUUGGUUAGAAAACACUAUCAGGGUUUUUGAUGGAUUAUCUUGCACACCGGCCGAAUGUCUGAAAUGUGCUGUAUCUCUGUUAAAAGAUUUGGCUUACCAAUGGUGGAAUACAUUGAUUUCUGUUGUACCAAAAGAAAAGGUUACAUGGGAGUUAUAUAAUAUUUGUGCUAAAAAUGAAUUUUUUUUAUAAUUGAGUGACUAUCUGUGUAGUUUAACCAAUUUGUACACACCAGUUCCGGUAGAAAAACAUGUGCCACCGGUGCGGUACUAACUACCUUAACUGGAAUUAGGGCGUACCAGUACUAAUCCAUUUCAGUGUACCAUUUCGAAUUUAUCUAUAUUUUGGAAAAUAUUAAAUAUAUGUAUAUAAAAAUAUUUACAAACAUCAAAAUUUGUACACACCAUUUCAGUGCACAAUGUUUUGGUAAAAGCUUUUUUUAUUUAUUACCAUAAUUGUAAAAAGUUAAAAAUUUUAAUAUUAUUCAUGCACUAGCAAGUGCAUAAUGUUCCUGUUGAUAUGAUCGGAAUUGGGCAGAACAGACCGAUGUGACAAGUACAGGUUGAAAUUUUAAUUGACGCAGAAAAAUGAGUUAGCUGCAUCAAUUUAUUAUUGGAAUGGUAUGCAUCGGCUGAGACAAUCGAAAUCGGUGCGAAAUUGUCUACAUUGAGUAUGCUACCUAUCACAAAAUAAAAUAAUUAUAUUUAAUUUUAAUGAUUUUUAAAAUUAUUCAUUAACUUAUUGUGUUUUAAUAUGGUUCAUUGAUGAUGUACGGACUUAUUCAUAUAUGCUGACAGUGCCCUAAAUGCACAUCCUAAUUAAAAAAAGUUCAUUAGCUGUACUAUUGAUUGGACUUUAAUUUUUAAAUCAGAUAAGUGCAAUGAUUAAAUUCUUAGAAUUAAAAGUAUUGGGAUUAAUUUUCAAAAGUUGGAAGAAUAUAAGGAUUCAACAUAAAUUAAACAAAAAAUUGAGGGCAAUAUGGUAAACCCCGAUGAUUAUUUUCUUUCUAGAAAAGGAAAACCGAAGUCAAUGCUUGAACUGCACAAUAGGAGCAUUUUUCACUUUGGACGCAUUUUAUUUUAUUUCAAAAAAGAACUCGUAAAGUAGGAGAAUAAAAUUAAAAGGUACAAUGGCUACUGUGAUUUCUUCUAGUGCUACAACCGGUGAGGCUGAGGACGGUGGUUAGCUGGAAGAUUGCUCUACUAAAAAAGUGUGAAACAAGGAUCAACGGACAGAGUUGAACAUGUCGAUUACGAAGAAUUUGACUCAAACGCCAAUAUUGACCUAGAAAGACAAAUUAGUAGGAGGUUCAUCGGUAUCGAAAAGGUCGAAUAAGACUCAAGAGAUGGAGUUGGGUCAUGAUUUGGAGUUUGUAGAAGGGGAUACUAAGAAAUCGACCAUUAACAGAAUCCCAUCUAUUGAUUUCUCAGAGAGGGUGAACUAGUUGCUUAUUAAGGACACGACCUAGACAUUCAUUGUCAAGCUCUUAGGCCGAAAUAUUGGUGUAAAAUCUUUUCCAACUCUUCCCUAACCUUUAAUUCAAACUGACUUAAGGUGUUGGACCCUGAUUUAUCCAUUCCAUUUUGAAUCUCCGCAAGUUUCUUCAUCAAAAGACUAUAGCGGGUGCCAAUAUUGUCGUAGAUAGAUUUAUUGCACCCCUUAAUAUUCAAAGUAAAGUGUUGGAUAGCCUCUGUCAUAUUACCCUUGAAAACCCAAUUUUCCUUGACAAAAUUUGAAAAGUUAGGAUGUUCAACCUAACCAGCCAGGAAACUGAAAGGGCGUCCCCCAAAUAAGUUGACCUUUAAAUUGAGAGAAAGCAGUGAUAUGUGAUCAGAUUUGAGCCUAGGAAGAUGGGAGAUUGAGCAACUAAGAAAAACUCUAAUCCAAGUUUCUUUUCCGAUCGCUCUAUCUAGCCUCUCAAAUAUUCUUCCUCGAUACCAAGUGAAAUGUGGUCCUUUAAAACCUAAAUCCUGCAAAUUAUUCACAUCGAGAAAGUCUCCAAAAGGAGAACAUCCAAUUCCAUCUCUUUUAACUCCUAUUUUAUCUCUAGAUGAAAGUAAAGCAUUAAAAUCACCGAUAGCAGCCCAAGGAACCCCUUUAGGCGGUAUAACCGUAUUAAAACCCUCCCAAUGUUGUCUCGUUUUUUGUCUGUCAAUACUCUCAUAAACAAAAACAACAGUAACAACCUGGGUUUGACCCCUCUUUAAAAUCCAAACAACAAUAAAUUAGGGGUGGUUACAAAUUACCUCAAUUGAAAUAUUAUCUUUCUAGCCAAGCCAGAUACCUCCUGAAAAACCAAUAGCCUUACUCUAUGCGAAUUCUAAAAACCCAAACUGGAAAUGAUCUUAUCUGCUUUGUAACCACUUACUUUUGCCUAUAUUCUUGAAAAAUACAGGGAAAAUUUUUAUUUGACAUCCAUGGCAAUUCCAAGAAAACACAGAUAAAUCUAUAAAAAAUAAUUAAAAGAAAUAAAAAACCAAUCUUACUGUUUGGGAGCCAAGGCAUCCUUCUCAUGCUUUUUAUUAGCUGCUGAAGAGUCUUUGUCAACCUCUUUGUUAAAUUGAGCACUAAUUAGCUCAAUCAUAAAGCUCAUCGAGUCUGUCAAGGAUACCCGAGCGAUUCCAGUUUGCUUAAAA
rnacentral:lncRNA from 1 species